rnacentral:rRNA from 1 species
UACGUAGGAGGCGAGCGUUGUCCGGAGUUACUGGGCGUAAAGCGCGCGUAGGCGGCCUGCUGCGUCGUUCGUGAAAGCUCCCGGCUCAGCUGGGAGAGGGCGAGUGAAACGAGCAGGCUUGGAGGGCGGUAGGGGCUGGCGGAACGCCCGGAGUAGCGGUGAAAUGCGUUGAGGUCGGGCAGAACACCAGUGGCGAAGGCGGCCAGCUGGGCCGACCCUGACGCUGAGGCGCGAAAGCCAGGGGAGCGAACGGA